rnacentral:rRNA from 1 species
UACGGGGGGGGUAAGCGUUGUUCGGAAUUACUGGGCGUAAAGGGCUCGUAGGCGGCCAACUAAGUCAGACGUGAAAUCCCUCAGCUUAACUGGGGAACUGCGUCUGAUACUGGAUGGCUUGGAUUCGGGAGAGGAAUGCGGAAUUCCUGGUGUAGCGGUGAAAUGCGCAGAUAUCAGGAGGAACACCGGUGGCGAAGGCGGCGUCCUGGACCAACACUGACACUGAGGAGCGAAAGCCAGGGGAGCAAACGGG